rnacentral:sRNA from 1 species
UCGCUUCCAGGGUUCAUGCCUUGCUGCC